rnacentral:rRNA from 1 species
UGCAAGUCGAACGCUUCUUUUUCCACCGGAGCUUGCUCCACCGGAAAAAGAGGAGUGGCGAACGGGUGAGUAACACGUGGGUAACCUGCCCAUCAGAAGGGGAUAACACUUGGAAACAGGUGCUAAUACCGUAUAACAAUCGAAACCGCAUGGUUUUGAUUUGAAAGGCGCUUUCGGGUGUCGCUGAUGGAUGGACCCGCGGUGCAUUAGCUAGUUGGUGAGGUAACGGCUCACCAAGGCCACGAUGCAUAGCCGACCUGAGAGGGUGAUCGGCCACAUUGGGACUGAGACACGGCCCAAACUCCUACGGGAGGCAGCAGUAGGGAAUCUUCGGCAAUGGACGAAAGUCUGACCGAGCAACGCCGCGUGAGUGAAGAAGGUUUUCGGAUCGUAAAACUCUGUUGUUAGAGAAGAACAAGGAUGAGAGUAACUGUUCAUCCCUUGACGGUAUCUAACCAGAAAGCCACGGCUAACUACGUGCCAGCAGCCGCGGUAAUACGUAGGUGGCAAGCGUUGUCCGGAUUUAUUGGGCGUAAAGCGAGCGCAGGCGGUUUCUUAAGUCUGAUGUGAAAGCCCCCGGCUCAACCGGGGAGGGUCAUUGGAAACUGGGAGACUUGAGUGCAGAAGAGGAGAGUGGAAUUCCAUGUGUAGCGGUGAAAUGCGUAGAUAUAUGGAGGAACACCAGUGGCGAAGGCGGCUCUCUGGUCUGUAACUGACGCUGAGGCUCGAAAGCGUGGGGAGCAAACAGGAUUAGAUACCCUGGUAGUCCACGCCGUAAACGAUGAGUGCUAAGUGUUGGAGGGUUUCCGCCCUUCAGUGCUGCAGCUAACGCAUUAAG